rnacentral:rRNA from 1 species
CAGUCGACGGAGCUUAGAGAGCUUGCUUUUUAAGCUUAGUGGCGAACGGGUGAGUAACGCGUGAGUAACCUGCCCUAGAGUGGGGGGCAACAGUUGGAAACGACUGCUAAUACCGCAUAAGCCCACGGUGCCGCAUGACACUGAGGGAAAAGGAUUUAUUCGCUUUAGGAUGGACUCGCGUCCAAUUAGCUAGUUGGUGAGGUAACGGCCCACCAAGGCGACGAUUGGUAGCCGGACUGAGAGGUUGAACGGCCACAUUGGGACUGAGACACGGCCCAGACUCCUACGGGAGGCAGCAGUGGGGGAUAUUGCACAAUGGGGGAAACCCUGAUGCAGCGACGCCGCGUGGAGGAAGAAGGUUUUCGGAUUGUAAACUCCUGUCGUUAGGGACGAUAAUGACGGUACCUAACAAGAAAGCACCGGCUAACUACGUGCCAGCAGCCGCGGUAAAACGUAGGGUGCAAGCGUUGUCCGGAAUUACUGGGUGUAAAGGGAGCGCAGGCGGGAAGACAAGUUGGAAGUGAAAACCAUGGGCUCAACCCAUGAAUUGCUUUCAAAACUGUUUUUCU